UACGGUGGGAGGUGAUGAUACCCCAGAUAUGGACUUAUGCUCUACGAUGGCAGAUGGUCUAAAGCCGAAUGACUGUUCAUUUAACAGUGAAAUGGCGGCUUUGCCCUUCUAUUGAAAUCGAUUGCUGCUUCUGAGAUCUUCUAUUUGUUUUGGUGUAGAGAGAGAGAGAGAGAGAGAGUGAUCGAUCUGGAUUUGUUUGAGAAAAGGCAUAGAGAUAGAGAGUGACUGUGAAAGGAGAGGUAUUGGUGGAUUAGAGAGAAGAAGAAGAGGGAUCUGAGUUUGGGUUGCUCGGUGGAAUUUGAAGUUUAGUGAUCCUGUUGGAAGGGGGUGUGCAAGGAGAAGAGGUUCUAUGCAGAAGAAUCUGCUAUGUAAAAUGGUUUUCACAUUUGAACAGACUUAGUUUUGCAAAGCCUUCCUUUCUCCUUAUUGUUUUGAGGUUGCAUGUAUUCAAGAAGCUGGGAAGGCCAGAUUUUUUGGUACUCUUAGAGGCAGAGGUUUGGACUGGAAUCAAAGAAAGAAGCUCUAGAGUUCUGCUACCGUUCUGUUCGGUGUGAAGAGAUUGCUAAUGAGAAAUUCAAUCAUUUGACAUCUAAUGAGAUAUGCAUGGAGGCCAUCUGCUUUGAUGAAGGUGUAAGGAACUCAAGACGACACCAAUUGAAAACAAGAGCAUUGGAUGAGCUAUGUAAUGACAGUGACAUUGAUAAGUGCACAGCUAGUAGCAUGAGUAGAAAGCAAUUCUAUGGAGAAGGAUGGCUUGAUGGUGAAUGCUGCUGGGUUAAAUACUUCAAAUACAGUAUUUACAGUAUGACUUGCAUUGGGUGAGGUUUUUCGAGUAGACCAACCUGAUGCAUUGACACUACUGGGAUCUGAAAGAUCAUUCAAAUCUCUCAAAGGUUUGUUCGCAUUUGCUUCUUCAACAGACAUGACGACUGCAACUCGACCCACCUGGGCUCCUGCAAAAGAUGGUAAUGAACAAGGCUAAAAAUCAUUGAUGUUGAACAUCAUCACAAGAGCAAUAAUGACAGCUUUUUCGAUAUUGAGGUGCUCCUACAGAUUAGGACCACAUGCAGGGAGAUGUGUUUUCUGCUUUUCAAGUUGCUAUUGAAAUCGAUGCUUUGAACUGUGAUUUUGUGGGGAGCAAGACGGAAGAGGGUCAGUUUGUUUGUGCUCAAAAGAAGGAACUUUUUUGUUGUUCAAGGGAAUUAGGAUUUUGGGUGAGUUGCUAUUUGAUAGUGAGCUUCCAGAGUUUGGAGAGGGUGACAUGGUAUAGAAGCUGAUAUAUUAGAUAUACAAGAACCCUCAUCCAAAUAUUGUUGUUUUAACAGUUGGAGCAGGUGAUAUAACAAUUGUAGGCUCAAAGCUGUCCAAACUGGAGAUAGAAAAUAUGGUAACCCCAUCAGUGACCAAGUCUUUGCAUGACGUAGAUUUGGUUUGAUGGAGAUGUCAACCAGAACAAAGAAGGCAGUUUUGGAAGUAGUUUGGGGGAAACAAAAGGUUCAUCUUGACUGCAAAACAUUGCCAUCUAAUGAGAAUAUAUUGUCAAGCUUCUAUACAGAAAGAUAAAAUUUAUAACAGAUGGACUUCAGGUCAUUGAUUCCCGCCACAAAAACUUUUGUGCACAGAUGAGGAAAGACGAUGACUAAAGUUGAAAUCACUGGGUAGAAAGUUACAAGUUCAUUUGGUUGCAAAUGCAUGUGAGUUGGGUUAUGGAAUGGGAGGUGGAAGACGGUCAAGAUCAGAUUGAAGGUACAAGAGAUACAUUUCUCAAUUUGUAUUAGAUCUUUUGUAAUGUCAAGAAACUGCCAUCCUUUAUUAAUUGAAUUGUAUAAGAUUAAAAGAUCCUAUCUUUGGGUUAAUAAUAUUUUCUUCAUCUUCUAAA